GAGUCCUGGAAAAUGCCAAGCACCUGGCAUACACAGUGGGCCUGGGAGCCGAGGACCAGGCUUGGAGGACCCUGAAAGUGGCUGCUCUGAAGAGAAAGGAGGCAAGAUGGGCCCUGAGAGGUGGGUGUGGCUCACAAAGACUAAAUCCUGGAGAGCUCAGAGACUAGAAGACAAAAGAACCCUGGAGUCUCUAAGGUGGAGAGUGGCCUGGGGCUUCCAGGACAGAAGGACAGGUCCUGUCAGAGCUCUGAGGAUGGGGCUGCCUUCAUGCCUACCUCACUCUGAACAGCCACAGGCACCAAGGCUGGCUGACACAAUGCAGUGGACCCCAACAGCAGGAUCUUCUUAUUGUAGUAAUACCUAGAGAAUUGAGGAAGGAAGAGACUCAGUGUCUCCUCCAUCAGACUAGCAGGUACUGGAGGACACCAGCCAUCUUCCCAUAGCGAGGACAUUUCCCAAGCACUGCCACGGUGGGAAGCAGCCAAGAGUGCCAGGAGCCACAGGCCUUUUCCUUGAACUCUGCCUCUUGUACUGUUGGCCACUGCUCACCUGAG